rnacentral:rRNA from 1 species
UACGUAGGGUGCGAGCGUUGUCCGGAAUUAUUGGGCGUAAAGGGCUCGUAGGCGGUUUGUCGCGUCGGGAGUGAAAACUCAGGGCUUAACCCUGAGCCUGCUUCCGAUACGGGCAGACUAAAGGUAUGCAGGGGAGAACGGAAUUCCUGGUGUAGCGGUGAAAUGCGCAGAUAUCAGGAGGAACACCGGUGGCGAAGGCGGUUCUCUGGGCAUUACCUGACGCUGAGGAGCGAAAGUGUGGGGAGCGAACAGG